rnacentral:rRNA from 1 species
UACGAAGGGGGCUAGCGUUGCUCGGAAUGACUGGGCGUAAAGGGCGCGUAGGCGGAUGGCAUAGUCAGAUGUGAAAUUCCCGGGCUUAACCUGGGGACUGCAUUUGAUACUGGCUGUCUUGAGUUCGGGAGAGGUGAGUGGAAUGCCGAGUGUAGAGGUGAAAUUCGUAGAUAUUCGGCGGAACACCAGUGGCGAAGGCGACUCACUGGCCCGAUACUGACGCUGAGGCGCGAAAGCGUGGGGAGCAAACAGG